rnacentral:rRNA from 1 species
UAGGGAAUAUUGGACAAUGGGCGCAAGCCUGAUCCAGCCAUGCCGCGUGAGUGAAGAAGGCCCUCGGGUUGUAAAGCUCUUUUGUCCGGAAAGAAAAGCAUCGGGUUAAUACCCCGGUGUUCUGACGGUACCGGAAGAAUAAGCACCGGCUAACUUCGUGCCAGCAGCCGCGGUAAUACGAAGGGUGCAAGCGUUACUCGGAAUUACUGGGCGUAAAGCGUGCGUAGGUGGUUCGUUAAGUCUGAUGUGGAAGCCCUGGGCUCAACCUGGGAAUGGCAUUGGAAACUGGCGGACUGGAGUGCGGUAGAGGGUAGCGGAAUUCCCGGUGUAGCAGUGAAAUGCGUAGAGAUCGGGAGGAACAUCCGUGGCGAAGGCGGCUACCUGGACCAGCACUGACACUGAGGCACGAAAGCGUGGGGAGCAAACA